rnacentral:sRNA from 1 species
GACCUCGCGACCUGUGUCAGCAGAGCCGCCCUGCACCACCAUGUGCAUCAUCUUCUUUAAGUUUGAUCCUCGCCCUGUUUCCAAAAACGCGUACAGGCUCAUCUUGGCAGCCAACAGGGAUGAAUUCUACAGCCGACCCUCCAAGUUAGCUGACUUCUGGGGGAACAACAACGAGAUCCUCAGUGGGCUGGACAUGGAGGAAGGCAAGGAAGGAGGCACAUGGCUGGGCAUCAGCACACGUGGCAAGCUGGCAGCACUCACCAACUACCUGCAGCCGCAGCUGGACUGGCAGGCCCGAGGGCGAGCACAGCAAAGGGAGACGUCAUUUGCUACUAUGGGAACCGAGGGGAGCCUGAUCCUAUCGUUUUGACGCCAGGCACCUACGGGCUGAGCAACGCGCUGCUGGAGACUCCCUGGAGGAAGCUGUGCUUUGGGAAGCAGCUCUUCCUGGAGGCUGUGGAACGGAGCCAGGCGCUGCCCAAGGAUGUGCUCAUCGCCAGCCUCCUGGAUGUGCUCAACAAUGAAGAGGCGUGAGUGGGCGGGUCCUGCUGGGGUGAGCCCCAGUGUCCCGCCACCAGGGCAGAGGGAAAGGCAGGCCCUGCUGCCCCGGGAGGCCCAUGGAAGUGGCCAGGCUGGGUCCCCAGCUGCA